rnacentral:piRNA from 1 species
UCUGUAAUAAUCUGUCAUUGGACUUGUU